rfam:Oryctes borbonicus contig24544, whole genome shotgun sequence.
CAAUUGGUCCUUUUCAGGACCACCCUGUUAUUCUUGUGAAAUGAUAU